rnacentral:rRNA from 1 species
AUUGAACGCUGGCGGCAUGCCUUACACAUGCAAGUCGAACGGCAGCGCGGGAGCAAUCCUGGCGGCGAGUGGCGAACGGGUGAGUAAUAUAUCGGAACGUGCCCUGUAGCGGGGGAUAGCCCGGCGAAAGCCGGAUUAAUACCGCAUACGCUCUACGGAGGAAAGCGGGGGUCGCAAGACCUCGCACUAUAGGAGCGGCCGAUAUCGGAUUAGCUAGUUGGCGGGGAAAAGCCCACCAAGGCUACGAUCCGUAGCUGGUCUGAGAGGAUGAUCAGCCACACUGGAACUGAGACACGGUCCAGACUCCUACGGGAGGCAGCAGUGGGGAAUUUUGGACAAUGGGCGCAAGCCUGAUCCAGCCAUGCCGCGUGAGUGAAGAAGGCCU